AGUAUAGCCUCUUUCAGACACACCCCUAAUCUAAUGUCAGUUUAACAUGUUAUUCUCAUGUCUGAAUAAGGGCCUGAGUCACUUUUAAGUAAAGGUCAUGAAGAAAGAAAAGACAGAGAAAGAGAGAAAUGUGUUCAAAGAUCAGUAAGUAAUACUUGUAUUCUCUCAAUCUUCAUCCCUUGACGCGUCAAUUACACUAACAGGAAUAAAUAAUGACCCUCUAACUAGAUGAAGACAGCGGUGUUGUCUGAAAAGAGUUUAUGUAGAAAAAGUCACGGCCCAAAGUACUGUAGUUUCACCCCAGAGCAGGUCAGCUGGUGUACGUCUGUCCAUCUGUAUGUGUUACUGCCUGCACGUUAAUCUGUCUAUCAUGUCCAUGUUUGUCUUUUACCUGAUUAUUGUUUUUUUUCUCUUCAGAGUCGGACACUUCAUCAACUACAGGAAGUCAAGACAGCACCUCACUAUUGAUCUAGAAGUUUGAAGAGGAGGGUGAACUCUGCUCCAUGAGAAAUGGGAAUCGGAAUUUAACUUUUUGGAAAAGAAAUAAACAUGUUUUAUUACAGUAAAGACACAAUCUGCUGCGUUGCUAGAUGCCACGCCUAUACACAGAACAUACUUAAAAUAAAAGCAUCAAUACUAAACGUAUUUUACAGUACAGUUUACAGCACACUGAUAGAAUACUUAUAUCUACUGCUAGUAUUUAGAGACAAGUAAUGUUUGUAUCUUUUGUAAAAAGUAAUUGAUCAAUGAUUCUCAAACUAACUUCUUGUUUGGUUAAGUAGAUAAACGUCAGAUGAAGUUGACCUGCUAUUUCAUUCUUUUGUACUGUUGAUUUGCUUUUUAAUAAAGUCCCAGAUUUUCUAAA